AUUGAACGCUGGCGGCAGGCCUAACACAUGCAAGUCGAACGAGUGGCGGACGGGUGAAUAAUAUCUGGGAAACUGCCUGAGGGAGGGGGAUAAAUACUGGAAGCGGUAGAUAAUACCGCAUACCAUCGGAUGUGCACAGAUGGGAUUAGCGAGUAGGUGGGGUAAAGGCUCACCUAGGCGACGCUCCCUCGCUGGUCAGAGAGGAUGACCAGCCACACUGGAACUGAGACAAGGCCCAGACUCCUACGGGAGGCAGCAGUGGGGAAUAGUGCACAAUGGGCGCAAGCCUGAUGCAGCCAUGCCGCGUGUAUGAAGAAGGCCUUAGGGUUGUAAAGUACGUUCAGCGGGGAGGCGUUACCCACAGAAGAAGCACCGGCUAACUCCGUGCCAGCAGCCGCGGUAAUAC
rnacentral:rRNA from 1 species